AUGGAACGCUGGCUGCAGGCUUAACACAUGCAAGUCGAACGAGUGGAGGACGGGUGAGUAAUGCUUGGGCAUCUAGCUUAUGGAGGGGGAUAACUACGGGAAACUGUAGCUAAUACCCCGUAACCUAGGAUGAGCCCAAGUGGGAUUAGGUAGUUGUGUAGGUAAAGGCUCACCAAGCCGACGAGGUCUAGCUGGUCUGAGAGGAUGACCAGCCACACUGUGACUGAUACACGGCCCAGCCUCCUACGGGAGGCAGCAGUGGGGAAUAUGGCGAAAUGGGGGCAACCUGACGCAGCAAUGCCGCGUGAAUGAAGAAGGCCUUCGGGUUGUAAAGUUCUUUCGGUAGCGAGGCGUUAACUACAGAAGAAGCACCGGCUAACUCCGUGCCAGCAGCCGCGGUAAUAC
rnacentral:rRNA from 1 species